GGGUGGUGUUGUUACACCUACACUCCCUGCUUUUACAUUCACAUUCAAUCAGCCCAACUAUCGUCAGCCUAGUCACUGAUAACCUCCACUUAGAUGGAGAUAAAAGGACCAGACGUUGUGUGCGUGCAUUACGGUGUCUGUAACCACACCCCUUCUCCUGUUGAGGUGCUUUCCUGAUUUGCCGGCCCUGUAUUCCUAGCCUUCCCUCUGACGCUCGCCUUCGGUAUGUCCUUGUCCCUGCAUGUUCAGUGAGGAACCGUACUUCGCCGCUGACCUCGUCGUUCCUGUGAUAACCGUCUGAUAACUGCCUGAUCACAAAGGUGCUGCUGUUUUGUUUAAGCCUGACAAUGCGUGUGUGAUUCAGCAUGCUCGUGACUCUGCCAAACUGUUGUUGUGCAUGCUGGUCUGACAUAUAUCUGAGCUGGGUUUUCGUUUUCUUUGUUAUGUUCUUUUUGUCUGAGCAUUGCACCAUCUUGUCCACUCCAAUGGAGUAAUGCUUCUGUCUAGUGUGUUUUCUGUCUGCAUGUGACUGGGCAUAAGGCUGGUGGCGCUGUAGCUGUCCUGGUGCAUGCUUGUUGUUUGUUCUGGUCUGUAGUUAGCCUCGAUACAUGAUUGCUAUUACUGUCUGAGUGUUUCAUGCUUAGGAUGGACUGUUGAUAUCC